AAUGAGGCUACUAUACUUUUGGAAAUACGGAGCCUUCCGUUUUUCCAUGUCGUUUUCCAUGUUGCGACUUUUGAAUCGUCGAUCGGCUUCGUUAAAUUUGAUCUAGAGUAUUUGAAGUAUCUAGAAAAUAAAUUAUGCGAUUUUUCGAUAUUAUUUGCCUAGUAAACGAAGGGGCACAAAAUCAACGGCUGAAAAUAAAAAUCUUACAAAACGUGAUAAUAUGGCAUUAAAAUUUUAGAUAAAAGAUAUUGAUCUUGUUUUAUAUAGUAUAAAGAAUUUUCUAUCAAAAUUUCACGUGAUUUGGAUAUUUCUACACCGUUAAACUUGCAGCGGCUCACUACAGCUAUUAAAAUUACUGAUUUUGAGCCCCUACGAUCACUAGGCAAAUGAUAUCAAUCUCCUAUACUUUCGAAAGUACGGAAGCUUCCGUACUUAUAAGUUGUUUUUGAUGAUGGAGCAUCCGAUUCGGCAAUCAGCUCCGUUAGGUAUGAUCUACGCUAUUAGAACUAUUUAGAAACCAAAUUUGAUAAUUUUUUGACAUCAUUUACCAAGUGAUCAAAGAGUCUAAAAAAUAACUAUUUUAACGGCCGAUGUGCCAUGUUUUAAGGUUCAACGAUGUAGAAUAAUCCAAAUUACAUGAAUCUUUAAUAGAAAAUUCUACUUAGCAUCAAGAGACAGAACAAUACUUUCGAUUUGAAAUUUAAGUCUUUUAUCACUAUUUUUUUUGAGAUUUUUAUUUUCAGCCGUUCAUUUUGAGCCUACUUGUUCGCUAGACAAAGGAAAUCAAAAAAUUAUGAAAUUUGGUUUCUAAAUAGUUCCAAUAGUGUAGAUCGUGUCUAACGGAAUUGAUCGCCGAAUCGGAUGCUCCAUUAUCGAAAAAAACUUAUAAGCACGGAGGCCUCCGUAAUUUCGAAAGUAUAGGAGCUUAGCUCUAUAUAUAUAUAUACUCUCUCUUUUUCUCUCUC
rnacentral:lncRNA from 1 species